CGUAACACGUAUACAACCUACCUAUAAGCGGGGGAAAGUCGCGGGAAACUGCGAAUAAUACCCCAUAAGAUCUUAGCGUGGCAUCACGCAGAGAUAAAAGUUCCGGCGCUUAUAGAUGGGUAUGCGUCCCAUUAGCUAGCUGGUGAGGUAACGGCUCACCAGGGCAACGAUGGGUAACUGGUCUGAGAGGAUGAUCAGUCACACGGGCACUGAGACACGGGCCCG
rnacentral:rRNA from 1 species